rnacentral:pre_miRNA from 1 species
CUGUGGUGCAUUGUAGUUGCAUUGCAUGGUGCUGCAGCCUAGUGCAAUGUGUCUGCAGCGCAAUACAG